GAUGAACGCUGACAGAAUGCUUAACACAUGCAAGUCAACUUGAAUUUGGGUUUUUAACUUAGAUUUGGGUGGCGGACGGGUAAGUAACGCGUAAAGAACUUGCCUCACAGCUAGGGACAACAUUUAGAAAUGAAUGCUAAUACCUGAUAUUAUGAUUUUAAGGCAUCUUAGAAUUAUGAAAGCUAUAAGCACUGUGAGAGAGCUUUGCGUCCCAUUAGCUAGUUGGAGAGGUAACAGCUCACCAAGGCGAUGAUGGGUAGCCGGCCUGAGAGGGUGAACGGCCACAAGGGGACUGAGACACGGCCCUUACUCCUACGGGAGGCAGCAGUGGGGAAUAUUGGACAAUGGACCGAGAGUCUGAUCCAGCAAUUCUGUGUGCACGAUGAAGUUUUUCGGAAUGUAAAGUGCUUUCAGUUGGGAAGAAAAAAAUGACGGUACCAACAGAAGAAGUGACGGCUAAAUACGUGCCAGCAGCCGCGGUAAUACGUAUGUCACGAGCGUUAUCCGGAUUUAUUGGGCGUAAAGCGCGUCUAGGUGGGUUAUGUAAGUCUGAAUGAAAAUGUAAGGCUUAAGAUAUGUAUUUUUUUGGAGAC
rnacentral:rRNA from 1 species